rnacentral:lncRNA from 1 species
GGGUUACUGGUUUUCAAGGAUAGUUUUAUGACUGGCAGUAACAAUGCCUCAAAAGCUAUGGUAGCCAGCUUCGAUGAACUUAUGUAAUGCACACUUAUCAUAGAAGACGUGUCAUCAAACACCUGCUAGAUCUGAGCGUUGGUGCCUAAGUUGCUUUUAUUGUCAAAGAGAAGAAGGGGAAAAGGAACUCGGCUGAACAAAGCGGGAGGACUUUUUAUUAGAAAAUUCGGAGGCAAUUUCUGGAGGAACAGGAACACAUUUCCAAAGGCUUCUAAAAUGUACAUCAAUGGGAUUGGGUGAAUUUAGUAGUUAAAGAAGUGAAGGGCACUGAUGAUCGUUUGGUGCCUAAGGCCUCUUUCAGACAGGUCUCCUCUGUUUGCCUUGGUCACAAAGCUCUAGGAGCCUCAAGGUGGGCAGGCCCAGAGGUUUCCCAGAGCAAUGUCUGAGGUUGCUGGUUUCCAUUCAGGCUUCCAGGCAAACACACACCAAAACACUCGUGGUUCUCACUGGGAUCUCUUCUCAUUAGCGGAACAUGACCAAAGUCGAAGAGACAUGGGCCAUUUGUCUCUCCACCUGAGUCCAUCCAUACAAAGUGGACUUUGGCCUGUUUUGGAGGUCAGCCUACAUCAACAGGAUGGGACAUUUGCCAAAUACACGGUCACUUGCCUUUGGUUCCCCACAAAUUUUUGAACGGCAAGAGCUGUUCAUUUAUUUACUCGCCUAAUAGUUAUUAUUAAGGGCGCAUUGAACUAGAAAACCUGUGCAGGUAUAAUGGGCUCUCUGCAUCUCAGUUUUCUCCCCCGAACGAGACUAUUCAUUACCUGCCUUGCAGAUCGCACCUUGUUGCUGGGAACAUCCCAUGAAUGACGUGUGGAACUGCUGUUUCGACUCUCAAGCCCACCAUGUAGGUGAAAGGUUGUUGCUAUCACUCUGUGGCCAACAGCGUGCUGGGCACCAGGUAGGUUACAGAAGACAUGUAAGAGAUGGUCCCUACCCUCCAGGAACUUAAAACCCCGCGUUGGGAAACUGAGGCACACCCAAACAAAACAGAGAUGGAAGGCUGUAUUUGCUAUUCCAGCGGUAGCUCUGAGACCUAUCCGAGGGCAGAGAAGGAGGAGCUCAUUAACAGGCUGCAGAUGUUGGGACAGCCUCUUGGAGGACGUGAGGCUUGAGUUGGGUGACAAAGUAGACAGAGAAGAUGGAGAAGGUCUUUGUGGGUGUGGCAUCACCGAGUCAGCGAGUGGAGGCUUUUCUUGUAAAUCAAUCUACUUGGAGUCAGAACUCCCAACCAAGCUGGAGUUAUGGAUUUAAAAUUUGAGGGGAGCUAUAGGAAAGGGAAAGUCAGAGACGUUUUUAGACCAAUGAUGGGCUAUAAUGCGAUGGUGACUAGAGAGGCGUCACGUGUGACAGAUGGGUUUGUGAGGAGACAGAGGAGGGAAGGGGGCUACAGCAGGGGGACGGCAUGCUUCUGGACCAGACCGAUGAAAAUGGUAAGAGAAAAACAAUGCAUGUCAGUGAGAGAAUUCUGUUUGUAAGUGGAGGACAAGUCAAGCUAUUCACCCUGGCUCCUCUCCUGGUGUCUAAAUGUUGGGAUUUGAGUUAAAGUGGGCAAGGAGGGGCAAAAAAUGGGAGUGACUUUAUAUGUACACUUGGAAGAGUUUUGAAAACACAAGCUGGUCUCACAGUAUCUAUUUGUCUACCCAUGAAAAAGGAUUUGAAGUUGUUGGCUAAUCCACAGGAUGACAGCUCUUCAGAGUUAGGCAGGACCUUGCAAAUUACCUGGUCACAUGGUGGCCAAUGUCAGAAUUUCUGUUCCAGUAUCCCAGCAAAUGCUCAUCCCUCUUCUCAAACCUCUUUAAUCAAGGCAGUUCACUACUACUUGAAGAAGACCUUCCCAGGACCGGAUGUGUCUAAAGCUUCGCAAUACUUUUAUUUUGAAUUCUAAUGAAUUUUCCUAACUGGUUCUCCUAUUGCCCCCCCUCCCAGGGUCACACAGAACACUUUCACAUCUUCUGGAUUCAGCCAUUUAAUUGAAGAUGCAGGCCUUGUCUUCCUGGAUGCUCCCCAUCAACCUCAUUGAUAUAAAAAUGACCUUUUCUAUUGACUAAGUAACGUAAUUUUUUAUUUAAGUACUUUUUUAAAUAAAAAAGUAAUUUUUUAUUUAAAAAAUAAAAUUUCAUCAUUUCUAUUUUUUAAAUUUAUUUUAUGUUUCUGUAUUUUUGAGAGAGAGGGACAGUGAGUGGGGAAGGGGCAGAGAGAGAGGGAGAGAGACCCAGAAUCAGAAGCAGGCUCCAGGCUCUGAGCUGUUAGCACAGAGCCUGAUGCAGGGCUCGAACUCAAGAGCUGUGAGAUCAUGACCUGAGCUGAAGUCCAACCCUUAACUGACUGAGCCACCUGGGCACCCCUCUUUUCUAUUUUUACUUAUCACUUUAACCAAAGACAACAGAGUUGGAUUCUGAAUCUUACAGGAAAAGAAAUUAAUUGAAAGGAAGAAAAGAAGAAAGAAAGAAAGAAAGAAAGAAAGAAAGAAAGAAAGAAAGAAAGAAAGAAAAACUCAGUUAUGGGAACCUUCAUAUCCUUCUUUCUUUACUUUAAGAGGAUAAAUGGGGGCUUUUGUUGUUGCUGUUUUUGGCUUUGCACAAAAGUCACGUCCUGUGAUCUCAUGAAAUAGGUGCCUUCACCUCUUUCUUUUUUGAACUGAUCAGCUGGAUAUCUUCCAGGGAUUUGGUGUCAGAAAUCAAGUCUGGUGAGUGAGAAGUUUGACCAGAUUCAGAACAGCCUUGCCAAAUUGCAAACAGAGGGUGUGGAGUCAGGUCAGUUACAGAGGGUCACAAAAAUGAAACUUACAAUGGACAGGGUGUAUAUUUGAGGCACAUAAGGGUGUCAGUCAGUAGUAGUUGAUAUUAAUAAAAUACAAAAACAAAAAUAAAAUAAUAGUAGUAAUAAACAGCUAGGCCAACACUGAAACUUUUGAACUGAUACGGAGGGAAGGAGAUCUGUAAUAUACACACUGUUGCCUGAGGACGGUCUUUCUCGUUGCCUUAGCAAGUUAUAUUGCCAUGCUCUGUUUCGGACCGUGCUCCGGGAAAACCUUAGCACUCAUAUUAAAAGUUCAGAGUAGGGGCCUCCGGUCAUGAUCUCACGGUUGGUGAGAUCGAGCCCUGUGUCGAGCUCUGCCCUGACAGCGAGGAGACUGCGUGGGAUUCUCUGUCUCCCUCUCUCUCUGCCCCUGCCCUGCUCAUUCUCCCUCCCUCUCUCUCUCUCUCUUUCUCUGUCUCAAAAUAAAUACACAAACUUAAAAAAAAAGUUUAGAGUAGAAAAGAUAAUCUUUACCAGAACAUAGAAAAUCGUAUCAAAACACACAAGCAAACAAACAUGAAGCAGGUCAGUUUUCUCUUUUUGGCACUGAGCAAGACCAUAUGCUUCCAGAGAUGAGGAUUUAAAAAUAGCCUGUCCCACAGCUCACAUUGUAGCCCUGGGACAUGCUGGGGGUGGGAAGGAUUGCCUCACACUUAAUAAUAGUGACACUUCACAUUACACGAACCUCUUCUCAAAGUAACCGAGAGUACUUUCCAGUUAUUUGUUUGCUGUGUUUUAAAAAAAUCUAAUCUUCCUGAUGUCCCUGUGAGCGGAGAAGGGAGUGGUACUAAUAUUCCCACUUUACCCGGAUGACCGAGUUAUCGAAGGGUAAAGUCACUAAGUUGGGAUCACAGACUGACUCAGGAAUUAAUCUGGUGCAGUUCCAGACACACGGGGCUGCGGGCUGCAGCAACAUCCUGAGCCGUGAGAGACACGAGUUCAAAGGAUGUUGCACAAAAAAGAAAGAGAGUUGCUUCCCAUUGUUUCUGUUUUGAAAUGCACUUGCCUUUCCUUGUAAGCAUUUCAUCAGUUUCCCAUUCUAAGGCAAAUUGCUUACAAGCCUUGGUGACCUAUAUUUGCAGACCAAUUUACAGAGUCUUAAUAACAACGUGAUAGUUCACGUCUCCAGAAUUCCUUACCCUGGAGAGGGUCUCACACUCGCCAUCUCAUCCGAUCUCUGUAACAGGCUGUAAUUCAGGCAGGGCCAGAGUUUUGAUGAGAGAGAUCAGAGGCUCAGGAUGUGGGGGAAACUUUUCACCUGGUAAGGGCAACAGACUCUGACCAACAUGCAGAUCUUCACUCUGGAGGUCUGGGCUGUUUUCCCGCGGGCCACACUGUCCCCUAGGUCUAAGCAACGUGGUGAAACUUGGCCGCACAGCGUAUGUUCCCAGGGAAGAUGUCUUCCUCUGUGCUCAGGACUGACUCUGCCAUCCAAUGUGGCGCCCAACACUCGGUUUCUAAUUGGUCGCAUAACACGAAUGGGGGGAUACUAGACGUAGCAAACACAAGUCACUGACAAGCUCCCUUUAAGGAAGAAGGGAAACUCGUCAUCCAGAUUGUCAGCAGACGGUUUGGAGCAGACCUGGGGUCCAGUGAGGUUGUGUGACCCACCAGCCUUAGCCCCUAUUCCGACCCUACCUCCCUUGGCUCUACUAUAAUUAUUCUCUUGCCAACACACUAAAUUCCCUUGUUGCUUUCCCCUUCAUUGGGCAAAACCCCAGUGCUGGGGAAACGUAACCAUCCUCACCUCCUUUGCUUGUCCCUAAGCAGCAAAAUGCUGUUAAGAACAUCGUACACCAUGCUAGAAGCAGCUCGAUUUAAAUUUAUGAUGGCCAAGGGGCCCUAUAACACUUCUAGCAAAUUUGCCCUUUCAGUCCCUGGAUCAACUCUUUCACACCUUCACCUUCCUCCCUAAAUCUCCACCACGUGUUAUUCUUUCCAUCUUCCAGGAUGAUGACCUUCCUUAUUAUUUAAGGAGAGUUAUUCCGUCUUUCCACCACCAGCUUCUUUACUCACCCACAUCUACACCCGCAAACACUACCUCCCACAGGCAGUGUUGCUGUUUCUAAAGGUCACCCCUCCGUUUGUCUCCUGGAUUCUACCUAUUUUUACUUAUUUCUCUCUGGCAAUAUCAUUUUCUCCCGUUCUGUUACAUCAAUCCUAUCAACAUACAAAGAUGCCUGCCUGCAUGAUAACCAUUAAACAACAAUUCUCCCUUGAUCGUGCUCGUCUCCCUUGACCCUCCUGUGUCCACCCCUUUCUUUGAUGCCUUCCCCAAAAUCUUCAAAAAUAAGAUCUGCUUUUCUGGUCUCCUCUUCUUUUUUUUUUUUUUUAAAUUUUUUUUUUAAUGUUUAUUUAUUUUUGAGACAGAGAGAGACAGAGCAUGAACGGGGGAGGGUCAGAGAGAGGGAGACACAGAAUCCGAAACAGGCUCCAGGCUCUGAGCAGUCAGCACAGAGCCCGACGCGGGGCUUGAACUCACGGACCGUGAGAUCAUGACCUGAGCCGAAGUUGGCCGCUUAACCGACUGAGUCACCCAGGCGCCCCAAGGUCUCCUCUUCUUCAGCUCCUCAACUCUGUUCCCAUUUCUUUGGGAUCCUGUCACUCCACCUAAGCAGCCCUUUUCAAGGUCGCUAAUGAUCUAUAUAUUUCCAAAACCCACACAGAUUCAACUUUCUGGACUCUUCAGUAGAAUUCGACACGGUCGAGCCCUCAUACUUUUUUGAACAUUCCCCUCCCCGCACUUCUGUGAUGCCACUCUCACCUGGUUUGCCCUUACCUUCCUGUCUCCUUGUCUGUCUCUUCCUCCUCCACAUCAAAUUUUGGAGAGCUCUGAGGUUCUUGUGUCUGUUCUGUAGACACUCUUCCCGGAUGAUCUCAUUGGGUCUCAUGGCUUUAAUACACCAUCUAUAUGCAGAUAACUCCAAAUCUUUAUCUCCACCUGACUUCUCCCUUGAGCUCCAGACUUGAUAACUAUAAUUGUAUAUCUAAUAGGCAUUUCACACAAACCACCACCCAAGCCAAACUAUUGACUUACCUCUCCCCACAUCCAAGUCCUCCACUCCAAGUCUUCCCUUGUCAGAGUAAGUUGUCCUGAGCCACCGAGAUAUUUGUUCAGAGAAUAUACAUGAGCCAUUCUGAUUGUGUUUUAUUUCCCUUAAUCCCCAUGGCUAGCCAAUCAGCAAGCCCUAUUGACCUUAUACCUAAAAUAUAUGUCAAUCUAGGAUAUUUUUCAUCACCUCUGCUACUAGCCACCUUACUCCAAGCUGUCAUCACAUUGUUCACGUCCAGAUUUUUGGUCCCUUUACUCACCUUUCGCACAGUAGCCAGAACAAUGUUUCCAAGACCUGAAGUUAUAAAGUCACCUCUCGGCUAAACUCUCUUACCAUGAGUAUAAAACUCUACAGAGCCUGGUCCCUGGCUACUUGUCCAGCAUCUUCUCCCUUUCUCAGCCUCAUCUGCAAUGUUCACUGUUUUUUUUCUUCCUCCCUCAAACCUGCCAAUACUUUCCAGUCUGAGAACUUUUACACUUGCUUUUCCUUUUAUUUGGAUGUCCUUCUUCCAGACCUCCAGUGGCUGCUUCGUUUUGUCAUUCUGGUCUCAGAACAAAUGUCAUUCCCUUAGACAGAUUCACCUGACCAACGUCACUAAGGUAUUCUCCCCUAGAACCAAAAAUAAGUACUCCACCGUUGUCCCUGCCCCCCUGCGAGGAAGAGUGUUCUCCUUUAGUUAAAUUCUAGUGAAUUAUACCCUCAACUUUAGUGGUGAGUCUGUAUAAAACCUGACAUUGAAAUUUGUGACUACAUUGUCCCUGGGGGUUUCUGAAGACAUUAUUUGCUCUGUCACUCAGUAAUCUUUUCUAUAAAACCCUGUAUGAGGAAUUCUUUUAGGACUAAGAGCUAGAAAAGCUUUGUUUCCCUUGAGAAACCAAUAAUGACACAACUGACUUCGCAUUGGUUUUUCUCUCUCUCCUCUCUCUGUUUUGUUUUGUUUUGCCUUAAUAACACAAAAUUUUAGCUUAAUUAUUGCAGAUAAUUUAGCUUAAUUAUUUAGCCAAAAUUUUAGCUUAAUUAUUGCAGAUAUGUAGAACUAUAGGACCUGGUUACUUGUCUAGACGGUUUUGUCCAGUAGAACUUUCUACAAUCAUGGAAAUAUUCUGGAUCUGCAAUGUCCAAUAAGUAGCCGCUAACCACGUGUGGCUACCAAGCACUUGACAUAUGGCCAGUGAAACUGAGGAACUAAAUUUUUAUUGUAUUUAACUUUUAUUGAUUUAAAUUUAAAUAGUCACACGGGCCUGGUGGCUACAUUGGACAGCACAGGUCCGGAUACCCUGGUCUAAGAUACUAGAGUGUGUUUUUAUGCACGCUUCAUUAUUCAUGAUUGUAUUUCCAAUAAGUUGCCUCAGUCCUUUGUGGCUGGUAGGAAAAAAAGAAAGGGAGAAAACACAUUGAAAUGAGUAAGUGACUCUGUAGGAGGAGUUAGCAUGUUUAUAGGCUUGGGUAUACAUGAUCAGGGUAUGCAGACAAAGAGUCUUAAAUCCUAUUUCCCCAUGAGAGCUCUGUGGAAAAAGCACCUGCAGCAAGUCUGAGAUCCAAGUUCUGGUCUUCGUUUUGCUGUUGGACAUGACGUGUGGCUCUGAGUGAACCAAGAUUCAAUAUAUUCACGAGUAAAACAGGGACUGUUGGAUUGAUGACUGGGUGUCUUUGGCAUCUGGACACCAGAUGUGUAGCCCCUCCCACUGCCAUUCCUUCUGAAGUCCAGGAAGCUGGCCCUUGGCUACCGACGUGCAAUAUGGGGCAAACCUUGAGAAGGUCAUCUUAUUCAUGCUCACCCCUAGGACAGGGUCAUUGGUAAAUGAAUUUAAAACAAAUACAAAUAGUCCAAUCUUCAAAAUGUCAUCAGGGAGGGAGAACCCGCCGUAAAUACUUAGGGAUUUGGAUAUUUUUGAUACCGAGGGAUGUAUCAUUCCCUUUAUUGCAUAAAAGCACAGGACUGACAUCAGAAGACUUGGACUCUAGUCUCAGCUCAGCUACUAACAAGCUGCAUGAUUUUUGUCAGGUCAAAGUUUCCUCCUCUCUCAAAUGAGAGGAUUGGACCAGCUGACCUUUAAUUUCCUGUCUUGUGCUAGCCGUAAUAAUCAUAGUUAACAUUUAUCGAAUCUUCAGAAUGUGCUGAGGUACGUUGCCUUAUUUAGUCCUAUAGAGGUGGGGAAUAUUAUUAUUUCCAUUUCCAAGGCAGAAAGACUGAGCUUUAGUGUUUCGCAAGGGAACAAAGUUAGCAAAUGUUGGAUUCCCUACCGGAAUCCCACGGUCUGGUUUCAGAACUCAUCUUCCUUACCUGUUCUGCCUUCUCUAUAAUUUUGUGUUUUUCUUCUAUCGGCCAGAGCACCAUUGUUUUCCUGGUUAAACAAACAGUUGUCUUAAUGCUUUCAACGAAAACUUCCAAAAUCUGGGCCCGAAUAUGGUUUCCCCAGACUUCAGAAGGCCAGGAAAGGCCCAGUACAGCCAGGAUUCAUGGGUUGGUUGCCACCUGGCAAAAACAGCCUUAUUCAUUUGGCUAGUGUGCUGUGAAAAUAAUACCAUUUUCUAAGUAUGCUGUGAUAUGACAAAUUCUGGGAAGCAUGUGGGCUUAGGCAUAUGUAAUGACUCACCGGCAAGGUUUAGCUUGGGCUUCUCACAAGUCAUAUCACACGCAUUUCACAAGAUCCUAUCAUGAGGGGAUGCUCUAUCCUACAAAUGUCAAUCAUCACUCCCUGAGAGUGGGACAUGUCAGUAAUCCCCAUAUGUCCAACAGGUCCAUCUUGGACCUGGCCCUCAGCUGAUCUUCAGUUAAGAACGCAUUUUGUUAGCUGAUAGAGCAGGAUCCUUAUGUUGGUUAGAAUCCUAUGAAGUUAGAGCCAGAAGGAGCUUUAGAAAUGUUAACCUGAAGAAGGCAGAGGAUUUUCUCAAGGUCCGUUCAAAGUUGGAAUGAAAACUCUGCUCUCCCUCAUGCCCUGUCCAGGCUCCCUCCUUAUCAGACUGGUAGUCAGAACCACAUCCUUUGGAAAUGAGGCAGGGCAAACAUAACCGAAAUUUCAUCCUGCCUCUACAGAUGUCACGAGCAAGGGAGUACCUGUAGUAGGAGAACCUACCUCCCCUGGCUCCAUCAAAGGCCACAGACCCAUGAGAACCAUCCAGCUUAGCCUGAGCCACACGCCCGGAGGUCACAGCAGUGCACAGGAACGUGAGAGGAAGUGGAAACGUGCGAGUGGAGGGCUCAAAGCAACGGGCUCACCACCGG